rnacentral:lncRNA from 1 species
AUUGGCGGUAAAUACUUUGUUCUGCAACUUGUCAUCACUGCUAAGCUACUAAUUGCAAAGUACAUUCUUCCAACAUUCCCAAAGUAUUUAUUUCCUCAAAAGCCUGCAAAGUGUUCAGCACCUUUCCUGCAAGGACAUGCAGAAGCCUAUAAUUUGGGAACCAAACUCUGUUCAGUGGAAGUUCAAUCAAAAGUUGAAACUAAAAAAUGACUGUUAGUUGCAAAAAGAUGUUGUCUGCUUGAUGAUUUGAAAGCUGCCUUCUCCCUGAAAGGUUUGCAAUUCACAUGCUUUAGGAUAAACUUAAUGGCUGGGUUGAGAUUGCUGCUGCUGUUGGAGAGAAAGUACUUCAAGUGUUGCUUCU